UGUGUGUGUGUGUGUGUGUUAUGCUGUAAAUGCUUCAUGUGUUGUAUAUUUGUACCGUUCACAAGGUUUACAAGAAACAAGACGGUUACACCACCAUCUGUGGAUGAACUUCAGUGUUAUGACAAACAUGACAAAUGGCUUUUUGUCUUCAACUUUAAAUUUAUAGAUGGUGGAACUCUAGAUGCUGCUGCUGGCUUAUUUCGCAAAUGACAUGGCUAUUAGCCAAGUAUUGAGUAUUUGCUAUCUAUUCAACAGGCAACAGACCACACAAACACUGAAAAUUUGGUCUUUACCACAGCAUCAAUGCUUAACAUUCAUAGUGUCAGUUCUGUCCAGCAAGUAUGAAGUAUGAAGUACAGCAAGUAUGACGUACCUAGUGACAUGACAGAGUGACUGUUGAAAGUUUAGAGUAUAGCCAGUUUAGUCAUUGCAAUAUCGAACCGGGGCCUUAGGGGCUCUUGUAUGUAUGUAUGUACAAACAAAAAAAUGUAUGUAUGUAUGUAUGUAU